rnacentral:rRNA from 1 species
GCUUACGGCCAUACCACCCUGAACACGCCCGAUCUCGUCUGAUCUCGGAAGCUAAGCAGGGUCGGCCCUGGUCAGUACUUGGAUGGGAGCCCGCCUGGGAAUACCAGGUGCUGUAAGCU